AAAUUGAAGAGUUUGAUCAUGGCUCAGAUUGAACGCUGGCGGCAGGCCUAACACAUGCAAGUCGAGCGGAAACGAGUUAUCUGAACCUUCGGGGAACGAUAACGGCGUCGAGCGGCGGACGGGUGAGUAAUGCCUAGGAAAUUGCCCUGAUGUGGGGGAUAACCAUUGGAAACGAUGGCUAAUACCGCAUAAUGCCUACGGGCCAAAGAGGGGGACCUUCGGGCCUCUCGCGUCAGGAUAUGCCUAGGUGGGAUUAGCUAGUUGGUGAGGUAAUGGCUCACCAAGGCGACGAUCCCUAGCUGGUCUGAGAGGAUGAUCAGCCACACUGGAACUGAGACACGGUCCAGACUCCUACGGGAGGCAGCAGUGGGGAAUAUUGCACAAUGGGCGCAAGCCUGAUGCAGCCAUGCCGCGUGUGUGAAGAAGGCCUUCGGGUUGUAAAGCACUUUCAGUCGUGAGGAAGGUAGUGUAGUUAAUAGCUGCAUUAUUUGACGUUAGCGACAGAAGAAGCACCGGCUAACUCCGUGCC
rnacentral:rRNA from 1 species